ACACAGAACAAACAAACGAAAAAUUCGAAAACGCAGAUUGUCGCACCUUGAUGGAAAAUCCUAGGCAAUAUGCAAAAAAAAAAAAAAAAAAAAAUCUCUGAGGAACGAACACAAAGCCACCUAAUAGUCGACUUAUCCCUUUCUAUGUCACAUUAAAUUUAAAUUCCAUUAAAUUGUCGCGUCUUGCCCCGCGUGCAUGUCAUCGGAUGCAUUAAUUUUUCUGUUCAACGCCGGAUAACCAAGAGUGCCCAUAUUUUGUAUAUACGUAUCUAGACGAAUGCAUAAAGAAAUAGGAUGUGAACUUACACGGACAGAAAAAUCCUGCGAAACGCGGCUGCACAGAUUACAAGAAAAUGGACUACAGAAAAAUUGCGCCUUUUUGGUGGGUCUUUACAUUCCAGGCAAAACUAACAGAUUUUUUUUUCUCUCUCUCUCUCUCUUCAACGUAUACACCAAUACGCACAAUUCUCACGUGCAAUAAAGCGGACAUGUAGAGCCACCUAUGAGUAAAGUUUCAAGCGCAAUGAGCAACGCGUCUCUGAGACAGGCGGCGUCGAGCAAGAAAGUGUCGUGCAAGAAGAAAAUGUCGCGUCUUGUUCCACCUUGCCCUAUAAAGUCCGCCAUUCGAUUGCCCAUUGCUGAAAAUGGAAUACAGCGAAUUUAGCCGACCAAGAACGCCACGGCUCAAAUCUUACGGCUUAAAAUCAGCUCUCACGUCUGAUCGCUUGUAUAUAUCACUGCUUCUGCAUCGACACCUGCUUGCCGUAGUAUGAGUAGAGUCAUGGCGUUUAUGAGCAUGUUUCUAUCACGAGCCUGUUAAACGGAACGAAAUGAGCUAUAAAGAGUAAGUAAAGUCCGUAAGCAGUCAACUUACUGAGCACAGAUGUCUGCUGGAGCACAGACAAAUACCAGUAAGGAGCUUUCAUUCCCUGGGGGUGACUGCGCAUCGAAUCAUUCAGGAUGGGCAUCGUAGGCCUCACCGUUCUCCUGCUGGGCCUUUCCGCGACAGCACUCGGAAUUCUCCACUGUCCGGGGAAAAUUUCCCUUUUGGAGUGCCUCCACAUGAUGUUCUACAACUCUUGUGAGUCGGACACUGAUUGUCAGUACAUCUGCUGCGAGUACAGCUGCAAAAAUUUCUGCUCCGAGGACUACAUAAAUCGAUGGCCCUGAACGAGUCAAUAAAAAUCUUACUUCGUGCUA